UACUUUAAAAAGUGUUGCAAUGUUUUAAGGGAAUGCCCAAACGGCAGCGGCCCUCGCCACUGUAUGUGCCUGGUCGGUAGGUUGUGUAGGCAAAUGUGUUGCCUACUGGGAUCAAGGUCCGACCGCCCGAGCCAGUAGUUCACUGUGAUGAUUAUCUGUCAUGGGAAGGACUGCAGGCGUUGGUGCGACAUGUGUAAGUUACGCGUGUGCGCAGCACGGGUUAUGGCAUGAGCCAGGAGACCUAUUGCAACGUAUCCACUACU
rnacentral:ncRNA from 2 species